rnacentral:rRNA from 1 species
UACGGGGGGGUAAGCGUUGUUCGGAAUUACUGGGCGUAAAGGGCUCGUAGGCGGCCAACUAAGUCAUACGUGAAAUCCCUCAGCUUAACUGGGGAACUGCGUGUGAUACUGGAUGGCUUGGAUUUGGGAGAGGGAUGCGGAAUUCCAGGUGUAGCGGUGAAAUGCGUAGAUAUCAGGAGGAACACCGAUGGCGAAGGCAGUGAUCUGGGCCGAUACUGACGCUGAGGAGCGAAAGCGUGGGGAGCGAACAGG